GUAUCUAAAGAUUGUGUCAGCCAAGUAUCCAAGGAGUGUUCAACUACAGUAAUCUCAUCGAUGUCAGAUUUUUGGGAUCCCUGACCGACGGACACCCAUACAGAUAGAAAAAGACAUCCAUCCAACGUGAAAAAAAAAAAAAAAAACGUGUUAAAGAGGAGUCUCAUCAUUUUCUUGGCAUCCAUGAAAGCUUGAGUGCAUCAGCAGCAGCUGUUCAAGGCGUGCUAAAAAACUUCCACUCGAGUUCAGUGAACGAAGUUUGCAAUGGAUUUUCUGUCUCUAUUCAUUGUGGCAUUGAUGCCAAUUCUGGAGACACUCAUAGUUACGGGUGUUGGUCUUUUUCUUGGAAUGGAGCGUAUAAAUCUCUUGGGGGCAAUUUCCAGGCAGUCUUUGAAUAAACUAGUAUUUUUUGUGUUCACUCCUUCACUGAUCGUCGCCGACCUGGCGGAUACAAUUACAUUAGACAGCUUGGGAACCUUAUGGUUCAUGCUAGUGAAUGUCCUUAUCACAUUCCUUAUUGGUUCUGCACUUGCAUGGAUACUCAUAAAAAUCACAAGAGCUCCUCAACAUCUGCAAAGCCUCGUCAUUGGUUGUUGUGCUGCAGGAAAUUUAGGGAACUUGCUCCUGAUUAUCCUCCCAGCUGUCUGCGAGGAAGAUGACAGUCCGUUUGGAGAUUCUUCUGUUUGCUCUACUGAUGCAGAGGCUUAUGCUGCUCUUUCUAUGGCGUUAGGUGCAAUAUAUAUAUGGUCUUAUGUGUAUCCUAUCAUGCGGAUAUAUGCAAACAAGGCAACUAAAGACAUUGCCACGGAUGGCUGUACGACAAGGGAUAACAUUUCUGGAGAAACCUUGUGUUUACAUUCAGAGAUUGGCACAGCACUGCUCCUUCCUUCAGAGGGUUGCCCAAGCUCAGAGGAGUGUAUGUAUCAAGUUGAAGUCCAUUCAACUGGAUCUGAAGGAAAAGUAAAGGUGAUGUUUCUGGAAAACACUAUGCUGCACCUUAAGAAGCUUAUUGGGCAUGUGGAUCUCCAAAAAUUGUUUGCGCCGUCUACAAUUGCAGCAAUUUUUGGUUUUAUCAUUGGAAUAGUCUCUCCAAUUCGAAAGGUACUGAUUGGUGAUGAUGCUCCUCUUCGCGCCAUCUACAGCUCUGGGAGUUUGUUAGGGGAAGCAACAAUACCAUCUAUGACGCUGAUAAUUGGAGCAAACCUUCUUAGAGGUCUAAAAGGUGCCGGAGUAGGUCCUGCACUCAUUGUAGGGAUUAUCGCAAUUCGGUACAUCAUCAUGCCUUCACUGGGUAUUGGUAUUGUUAAGGCUGCAAACCAUUUUGGCAUUGUGGGAUCAGAUGCAUUAUAUCAGUUUACACUCAUGCUUCAGUAUGCUCUUCCACCUGCGAUGAAUGUAGCUUGAGCACCUUAGCACUCAAGUCGACUUGGCUCGACUUUUCUACAAACAUACAGUUUGGAUUCUGAAAUGGAAAGUACCAUUUCUCAAUUGCUGGAGACAGGAGAGAGUGAAUGCUCUGUCAUUAUGCUAUGGACUUAUGCUGUGGCAACAUUUUCUCUGACACUAUGGUCGACCAUCUUCAUGUGGCUUGUUUCUUAAUCUGGAUUACUUGAUUCGUUUGAUGGCUCUGAAAUCAUUUUUUAUCAUUUCUGUAUCAGCAAAAAUUAGGAAAGAAAAAAAAAAGAAGUUGCUAGAUGCUACAUCUUUAUCUCGGUCCUAUCAGUAUCUAUUGUGUUGGUGUAAUAUAUCUAUAUCAGUAUCUAUUGUGUUGGUGUAAUAUUAUCUAUUGUGUUCAUGGACAA